GUGUUUUAUUUGGGUUCCAUCACAUAGUUAUUGUGGUGAAGUAAUUUGGGUUUGUACUCAAAUUAAGAUAUCUUUGUAUUCUCUCAUAUUAUUCUAGUGGAUUUUUCGGAGAUCGUCCCGUGGUUUUUACCUCUUAGUUUUAGAGGGUUUUCCACGUAAAAUUCUUGGUGUCUCGUGGUUUGAUAGUUUCUACUUAUUAUUUCCUGCAGUGGCUAUUAUUAUUUUGGUGGAGUUGCAGAUUUAUUCUGUUUGGCAUAUACUGAUAUUUUUAUCCGUCUAAUUUAUCAAAGACAACAGUAUUUGGGUGGUGAUUUUUCCCAACAC
rnacentral:lncRNA from 1 species